rnacentral:rRNA from 1 species
GCACGGAGUGCGUAACGCGUAUGCAACCUACCUUAAUCAGGGGGAUAGCCCGAAGAAAUUCGGAUUAAGACCGCAUAAAAACACAGGAUAGCAUUAUCCAAUGUUCAAAUAUUUAUAGGAUUAAGAUGGGCAUGCGUGUCAUUAGCUAGUUGGCGGGGUAACGGCCCACCAAGGCGACGAUGACUAGGGGAUCUGAGAGGAUGACCCCCCACACUGGUACUGAGACACGGACCAGACUCCUACGGGAGGCAGCAGUAAGGAAUAUUGGUCAAUGGAGGGAACUCUGAACCAGCCAUGCCGCGUGCAGGAAGACAGCCCUCUGGGUCGUAAACUGCUUUUAUUCGGGAAUAAACCUAUCUACGUGUAGAUAGCUGAAUGUACCGAAGGAAUAAGGAUCGGCUAACUCCGUGCCAGCAGCCGCGGUAAUACGGAGGAUCCAAGCGUUAUCCGGAUUUAUUGGGUUUAAAGGGUGCGUAGGCGGCUUAUUAAGUCAGGGGUGAAAGACGGUGGCUCAACCAUCGCAGUGCCCUUGAUACUGAUGAGCUUGAAUACACUAGAGGUAGGCGGAAUGUGACAAGUAGCGGUGAAAUGCAUAGAUAUGUCACAGAACACCGAUUGCGAAGGCAGCUUACUAUGGUGUUAUUGACGCUGAGGCACGAAAGCGUGGGGAUCAAACAGGAUUAGAUACCCUGGUAGUCCACGCCCUACACGAUGAAUACUCGCUGUUAGCGAUAUACAGUUAGCGGCUAAGC